UCAAACACAAAAAUCACUUACAAGCAGAAUUGUGACAUUACGCUAGUACUAUCUGAACAAAAUCUUGCAUACACCACUAUGCAUCAGAGUGCACCAAUGUUAGUCAGACCUGAUAAACAAUGGAAAGUGUGUCAAUAAAGUCGAUAUAUUGAAUAAAAUAUGAAAAAUGUUAUUGACAUAAAUUAUAAUAAAAAUGCUUAAAUAGAGUUAUAUGGGUGUGAUUAUCUCUCUAGUCUCCCCCUAAAAGGCAAUCUCUUGGACAAAGCUCUCCCACCUCAAUUGAUUCCAAAAGCCAAAGGCCCCAGGACCCACUUGUUCAACCUCCCUGUUGCUUGACUCCACCAGAAUCAUCAGCCACCACAAGAUAAUGAAACAACUUUUCCUACCCAUUAACUUGUCUCCACGUGUCACCUGUGGAUUCUCUCCCCACUUGGUAGUUGCCUAGUUGUCAUUUUCCGUCCUUUGCCCCUUCACAUUUCACAGUGCCCCAUAAGUCUCCAGCAUUCUUGCUCAACUUCACUACUCCAACUACAAGUUUUACAACACAAAAUAGAGAGCAAGAAAGAAAAGAAAAGAAAAGAGAAACCAAAAUUAGUCAGUCCAAUGUUGAAAAAAGAGAAGAGUGGGGGGUUUGAUGGAAGUAGCAACAAUUGGGCAAGGGUGUGUGACAGUUGCCAUUCCGCAACAUGUACCGUUUACUGUCGGGCGGAUUCCGCCUAUUUGUGUGCGGAUUGUGAUGCCCGCAUACAUGCAGCAAGUCUCAUGGCUUCUCGCCACGAGCGUGUAUGGGUUUGCGAAGCCUGCGAGCGUGCCCCUGCAGCCUUUCUUUGCAAAGCGGAUGCUGCCUCACUUUGUGCCUCUUGCGAUGUUGACAUCCAUUCUGCAAACCCCUUGGCACGUCGUCACCACCGUGUCCCAAUUAUGCCCAUUCCAGGUAGCCACCAUUUCUUUUUUCACACACAACAUAUAUACUCCUACAUGUUAAAAAUUUCAAUAAAUAUGACUUCUAAACCAUAAUUUCAAAAAUGUAAAAAUUGAAUCCAUCAAACUUAAAUUCUAAAUUAGUCUCUGAUUCAAAUAUCCAGGAACCCUCUAUGGUCCUCCAGCUGUUCACACCGUUAGCGGUGGUUCUAUGAUGAUCGGUGGGACCACAGGGGAAGGCACGGAGGAUGAUGGAUUCUUGAGUUUGACUCAAGAUGCAGAUGAUACAACCAUAGAUGAAGAAGAUGAAAAUGAAGCAGCUUCAUGGUUGUUGUUGAAUCCUCCUGUUAAGAAUAACAAUAAGAACAACAUUAACAAUAACAACAACAAUCAAAAUAACAACUAUGGGAUGUUGUUUGGUGGGGAAGUAGUGGAUGAAUACUUGGAUCUUGCAGAGUAUGGAGGGGAUAGUCAAUUUAACGAUCAGUACAGUGUUAAUCAGCAGCAACAACAUUACUCUGUUCCUCAGAAGAGCUAUGUUGAAGAUAGUGUUGUGCCAGUUCAGAACGGACAGCGAAAAUCUCUGAUUCUUUACCACCAACCGCAACAACAACAACAGCAACAACAACAAAGUCACCACCUGAAUUUUCAGCUUGGAAUGGAGUAUGACAAUUCUAACACUGGAUAUGGUUACCCUGCUUCUUUGAGUCACAGUGUAAGUUUUCUUCACUUUAUCGAUAUACCUCACUUUGUGAGUUGUCUUACGAAGCUACUACUCUGUGCAACAUCAGUUCUUUUAACACUUCUUUUUAGCUUCUGAAUUACUUUUUCCAGCACUUCGUCCUUUUUCAACAGAGGAUUUGUCAUUUUAGGUUCCCAUUUGCUAUUAUGGUUACCUUUACAUACCCCUAAACUGACCCUUGAACUUUUGUCGUAUUAAAUUUUACCUAAGAUUAUGCUCUUUCCCAAAUAAACAAAGAUGUUUAGAUUCUUCUUCACCUUCCUUGACAUUGAAAUAACGUGUAAUUAGUAACUCUUAACAAUUAUCCUUUAUAUUCAAGUUAUAAAUAGUAAUUCACUAUAAUGUUUAAACUGCUCCAAUUCACGUAUGUUACUGUUUAACCGUGUUCUCGAGAUUCUUUGAUAAAACUUAUCCUCAAGGGUGGAAAUUCUAAGAAUCUUUACCUUUUCAGCUUCUCCAUUGGGUUUCUUUUGACACUUGAUUUAACACAAGGUUACCAUGUUUAUGUUAAUAAUCAGCGACAUGCUACACAGAUGUUGCUGUUGCUUUAUGUGCAGAUCCUUAGGAUAAAUCUUGUAGUCUAGCUAGUCUGUUUUCUUGAAUGGACCAUGGAAUUUUUAUGGAUCUAACUUAUAUAUACUAAUAUUAUAAAAGUAAUUACACUUGAAUGUAUUUUAACAUGUUUUUUCACGUAGCUAAUUUCACUUUCUAUGGACAGUCAACUAUAAUUAUCUUUUUAAGUGAUACAUGAAUAGGGAAGUUGACCACUCAUGUUUUUGUUGUCUUUAUGUAUCAUCAGGUUUCCAUUUCGUCGAUGGAUGUCAGUGUUGUUCCAGAAUCUGCACUAAGUGAAACUUCAAACUCCCAUCCACGACCUCCAAAAGGGACCAUCGAUCUGUUCUCAGGCCCUCCAAUUCAGAUACCUCCCCAGCUUACUCCAAUGGACAGAGAAGCCAGAGUCCUAAGGUACAGAGAGAAGAAGAAGAACCGUAAAUUUGAGAAAACCAUAAGGUAUGCUUCAAGAAAAGCCUAUGCAGAAACAAGGCCAAGAAUCAAAGGCCGAUUUGCAAAGAGAACGGACGUAAAGGCUGAAGUAGACCAGAUGUUCUCCACACAAUUAAUGACAGACAGCAGUUAUGGAAUUGUCCCUUCAUUCUGAAUGCAACAAAGAGAAGAUCAACUGCAAGCCCCUAAACCUAGAAUUAAUAUUGUAUCUCUUACGUCAUUAUCGAUCUAAGGCUAUUGGAUAAUGAGAAAUGUACUACAGCAGUUUUCCACAGAGGAUUUGUUAAAUUCUCUGCUUUGUUGUAUAUGUAAAAAGAGUUCUUCCUUGUAGACCACGCUGCAGUCAAUACGUACAAUUUUUCUCAGGAAGAAGUAAAGAAACAGAUCCUCCAGUGUGAAGGGAUUGACCCAACAAGACAAAAAGUACUAGUUCCGCGAGAAGCAAAGAGUUGACUGCAGUAACAAGGAGUGUGGUGGGAUGGAUGAGACAUCAACAACCUUAACCAGAAGUCUCAGGUUAAUGGAAAAACUUUUAGUAAGAAAUGCUUACCUCCUUAGUGGACCUACCUGACACAUAGAUAGAUACUGGAUGCCUAAAGGGAAAAAGAAAAAAGAAAAGAAGAAUUGACUGCAUAUAACUUUUCCACAUUAAAAGAACUCAGUGCAGCCACAAGUAAUGGGAAAAGCAAAAUUACCGACGACCUCUCGAUGCUCAGUGGCUGUAUAUGACAUUGUGUGCUGGUGCAAUAUAAUUGAAGCUGAGUUCUGCUGUCUGCUGUCUGCUUUCUGCUUUCCCUUGUGGUCAUCUUUUUGUUGGAACAUACUCUUUUUGGAUGACAUAUAAUGUUCAUCAAUACCUGCUUUUGGUCCAGGGCCUCUUCCCAGAUUCUCCUUCAAUACAAUGAAUAUCCCAUCACUGAAGAUAAAGAAUAAAAGGUCCACUUCUCCAAGGAUAGGAAAGCACAAUAUUUUUGCCGAAAAUGGUACUGCAUAAGCGUAAGCAAAAUACUGCUAUGAUCAUCAAACUUUUAGUUGUAAUGACAGAAUCAAGGUACACGAUAUCCCUAAAAUAGCUAACAUACAGCUUCUAAUUUGUAAUCAGCAAGGAUAUAGGUAAUUUGCUCAAGAAAAAGAAGCACUUUAGUGGGUGGUGAAAGGAAAACUAAAGGCGAUAGAAGCAAGGGGACUGGGGAACGACAUCUGUUAAGCUAAUGAAAAAUCUCUAAGACCAAUCAUCUGUAUUUACCCUUGCUCAAGUCAAUCAACUACUAAAGUGUUCCUCCUAUCUUGGAAUCUAAAGAGUUCUCACUUCUACAGUUCUAUGUAUCAUCUAUUUCAUUAACUGUUUAUAUAUUAUCAACUAAAAGCACUUGGCAGUAAGAAAAUUACUUGACUCAACAAACUGGUGUUGUCAAAAGCAAAAGGUAAGAAGAGCAACCAGGGUAUGGUCGGGUUUUAAGUGCAAAGUGCGAUUAAAAAGCACACGUUAAUGAAGGAGACGAAGAUGAAGAAGUAAAUGUAAAAAUAAACACAAACAAGCAUUUAUAUGGACCAAGGAAUUGAGAAUAAAAUUGCAAACAUAAUAAAAACAUGUCAAUAAAGUUCAAUCUCAUUGCCCCCAAGGCCUAGCUCAAGUGGCAAAAGGUGGAGGAUUUGUGGCUUAAGUCGCAGGUUCAAGCCCCACACCAUGCAAAGUGAAGCCCGGUAUUUAAGUGGAGAAGGGUAGAGGGGCGGGCCCAUUAUCCACUGAGUUUAGAAGGCUGUGAUUGGUCCAAAGGGCGGGUCACAGACGGAUUUCUCGGUUAUCAAAAAAAAAAAAAAAAAAAAAGUUCAAUCUCAUUUUUUUAUUCCGUUGCAAAGAUGCAAAUUUAAGUUUCUAAUUCAAUUUUAUUGACUAAUUUGCUUUGAUAAAGUAUUCUAUUGACCUAUUUUGAAUCACUAACAUUUUUCCUUAAUGUUUUCUUAACAAGUGAUGUAUCACUUCGCUUUGUAAUUAUUUUUUAGCUUGCCCACUUCAAAAUCAUUAUAAAUUACUUAAACUUAUUAAGAAGCAAUAAGUUGGCUGUCUUUCUAAGGCACAGACCUCACAGUGCCUAAGCAACGCAGAACACCAAGUUUGCGAUGCAUCUAGCUUCAAGGUUUAUGCAUUCCUCAUGCGCACUUCUAACAAAUUGCCUCAUAAUCCAACUUCAAAAGGAAAGAGGUGUGCUUAGAAUAGAAUCUUCUCCAUCUACAUCAAGCAUACAUGACUUAUUAGGCUCAGUUAUUUCUGAACUACUCUACUUACUACCAAAACAGUUUACCACUAAGAAGGAGGUAUUCCAUGGCCUCAAAAGUAUCAGUAAUCAAAAGACAAUGUCCUUUUAUCAGUCUUAAGCUGAAGGAAAGCAUAUUGCACUUUAGCCUUUUUUUUAUGUGAAGUAGUCACUGAAAAAGUAACAAGGCAAGUUCCAGCUUAUCUAGGAAUAAGGUGAAAGUGUAAGGAGGUAAGAACUUUGUGGCUAAGAAAUUUCAUCCAAGAAUGGCUUGGACGUUCACUUUUAGGUCUUUUUUGAUCAUUGGGUACUUUUAGUAUCCAAUUCUGCACUGCUAUUCGUUGAACAGAAGAACCUUUAUCCACCUCACAACUCACUAGCAUAGAAAAAGAAUACCCAUUAAUGUGUCACGACCAAUAUUAUUUUGCUCAGUUAUUUCUGCACUACUCUAUUUACUACCAAAACAGUUUACCACUAAGAACUACUAUCAAUAAAGAUAGUUGCUGCUCUCUUCAUACUUGUUUGCAGGUUAAGUUGCUCAUCUAUCUUUAGCAAUGCAUGUGAUCCAAUUCAUUGGAUUUCAAGUCACAGUAAACUGUGAAGCAUACUACUAGGAGGUAUUCAUGGCCUCAAGCCCUCAACAGAAAUUAGUAAUCAAAAUAUGCAACUGAUUGAACAAGACGCAUAAGGAAAGCAUAUUAAACCUUUGUGAAGUAGUCAUUGAAAAAGUAACAAGGCAAGUUUCAGCUUAUCGAGGAAUAAGAUGAAAGUGUAAGGAAGUAGGAACUUUGUGGCUAAGAAAUUUCAUACUAAAAUGGCUUGGACAUUCACUUUUAGGUCCUUUUUGAUCAUUGGGUACUUUUAGUAUCCAAUUCUGCACUGCUAUUCGUUGAAGAGAAGAACCUUUAACCACCUUACAACUCACUAGCAAAGAGAAAGAAUACUCAUCAAUGUGUCACGGCCAAUAUUAUUCCCACCCAGAAUAAACGGGCAAACAACUCAGAUUGUUUGAGUUAUUCCUGAGCCGUUCAAGUUGGAUCAGGUCCCUCUGAUUCCAUGGGUACUUUAGCUAUCUAUUUAUGCCAUGCCAUUUGCUGAACACCAGCACUUUUUCCGCAGCUCAUAAGAGCCAAGCAAUCCAUCAUGGAGCAAUUCUAGUGAUUCCAAUGCAAUAAAAUUAUUAAAACAACAAAACAACCUUUAAUGAUUUUUCUAAUUCAAUGUGAAAAUAUCAAACUGCAUUGCUGGUUGACUCCACAACAAAAUCCAGAUAUAGUAAUCUUAUUUCUUGUCUGUGAAUAACUAAUUUCGUGCAAAUUUGCUGCUCGAGAUUAUAUCGUACACACACACACAAGGUGGUGUCCAAAAUGCUCAACUCAGUGGCGAAGCCAGGAUUUUCAUAAAUCCUUAAGAGGGUUAAAAAAUAUGACGAAAUAAAUACACAAGGAAGUCAAGAGAAUUCAACAUCCACUAUAUAUACUUAAAAAUAAUUUUAACCGUGUACAUACAAAGUAAUUUUCCAAUGAAAGGGAUUCGAACCCCCUUGCCCUUUCCUGGCUCGACUCCUCGCUACCUCCCACCAGCACGGUUUUCAAAUUAUUCAGCACACCAAGAUUUAGGCAAAUCGGAAAAAUCUGUGUAAUGUCGUCUCUGCUGGAAUUUGAACCUUGGUUUCCAAGGUUUUUAUCCCAACUCCUCAACGUCAAGGAAGAGAACAAAACCAUAUUACCUAAAGAUAAUUUUAUUGGUCGUUUUACAUAUUAUGUGAAGGUGUGAACCAAGGAAACCCACACAUAAGGCUUCCUCAUUUUAGAUUGUAUCAGUUGAGGGUCAAAGUUUGCACCUGGAGGAUAAUCCUAACAAAUAUUCUAUAGAUAUGGUUUAAAAGAGAAUGUAGCACUUUACUUUAUUCUUUUUUUUUAUGACAAGGGAAACCCGCAGCCUCUACCCUUUGGGUGAGCACAGGGUAAAACCCCCGCUCCUCUGCAAUAGCUCGCAAACCACAUAGGAGAGGUAACCCACACUAGGCAAGCCCGGUGCGACGAGCUCGACCCAGAAGGCAAACCCCUUGCUUUUGCUGGCAAGGGGUUUCGAACUUGAGACCUCCAACAUGGAAGUCCCAAGCCCAAACCACUGGGCCAUCCCUAAGGGUUCACUUUACUUUAUUCUUUUGUGGAUCAAGAAUCUUAAGAAAAAGUGAAAAGAGCAUAUUCCAUCUCACAAGAACAUUGAAGUUAUCCUGGACCUGUUGUGUUCCACAGAAGUAACCAGAGAAAGGCUAAAAUUUCAAGUUUGAGAUCCCUCCUAUUCCAUGGGUACUUUAUGUAUCUAUUUCUGCUCUGCCAUUUGCUGAGUCACAGCACUUUUUCUACAGCUCAUAAAUGUCAAGCAAUCCACUUGUGAUUCCUAUGCUUAGAAAAUUACUAGUUUUUGGAGGUAGAGUCCUGAGAAAAAGUGAAAAGAGUAGGUUCCACUUAAGUCACCUGAGCAUAGCUAAGCCUUUUAAGCUUUGAGGUCCCUAAGAUUACAAGGGAACUUUAGCUAUCUAUUUCUGCUCUGCCAUUUGCUGAGCCGCAGGUCUUUUUUCCCACAACUCAUAAAUGCUAAGCAAUCCACCAUGGAGCAAUUCUUGUGAUAGCUAUGCUUAAAAAAUUAUUAAACAAAACAAAACAAUUUCCAGUGAUUUUCUAAUUAAUGCGAAAAUAUCGAACUUCAUUUCUGGUUGAUUACACAACAAUGUCCAGAUACAACAAUCUUAUUAUUGUGAGUGAACAACUAAUUUCGAGCAAGUUCGCUGGUCGAGAUUGUGCCUUACAGAAACACAUAGUGAGGCCAGGCUAUGCAGCUUGAUUAAGUCACAAGGUACCUACUACCUCCAACCGGCUCUACAAGUAUCGAAUAAUUAUGUCCACCAAAAUUUAGGCAAAUGCGAAAAAUUCUAGUAGCGUCACCUCUGUUGGGAUUUGUACCUUGGUACCCAAGGCUAUUAUUCCAAGUCCUCAACUGCUAGGGGACACAGGCAAAUCAUAUUGACUAAAGAUAAUUUUACUAGCUGUUAUUUUUCAUAAUGUGCGAACGAAAGAAGCACACACACAGACGUAGGCAAGAUUUCAACAAAAAUGUUUCAUCUUAGAUUGUAUCAGUUGACUGUCAAAGAAUGCAUACAGAGGCUAAUCCAGGCUAAUAUUUUAAAGCAUAUAAUUAAAAGACAAUGUAGAGCUUCUUUCUUUUAACUUUUGUGGAUGAAGAGUCCUACCAUAAAGGUGAAAAGAGUAGAUUCUAUCUCAGUGAGAACAUUGAAGUUGUUCCACAGAAGUCAUUAGAGCCUGGCUAAGCCUUUCAAGUUUGAGGUCCCUCUUGAUCCAUGACACUUUAGUACCUAUUUCUUCUCUUCCAUUCGCUGAAAACCUGAAACUCUGCACUUUUUACAAAGCUCAUAAAUUUCUUAGUUUUUUGUGGGUGUGAGGCCCUUUCAAAUCCUUAGGACUUUUAUUUAUCUAUUUCCGCACUGUCAUUUGCCAAACAUCAUUACUUUUUUGAUCUGGUUGACAGCCACAACAAAGAUUCUUUCGUGCCAUAUCAUCAAAUUUUAUCCAGUAAUAGCAUUAAGAGGUAAAAUUGUCUAAGCAUUUCAAAUUUGUGUAUUUAGUGGGGAAAAAACUGAAAAAUGCGUUUGUCCUCUUUUUUAUAUACCAAGAUGCAUUUGUAUGUAGUGUAAUCCCUUUGUAUAUACCAAACAAAGAUUCUUUCAUGCCAUACCAAGAUGCUCUACCUUAGAGGCAAUUGUCCCUUUAUAGAUAUAAAAAAAUAAUGAGAACAAACCUAGUUUAAUCCCACAAGUGGGGUCUGGAGGGGGACAGAUGUAUGCAGAAAUACCUUUGUGGGAUAGAGAGAUUGUUUCUAACAGACCUCGGCUAAAAAAGUGAAGUUAUUCGGAAAAGGAUUGCAGGAAGAAAAAGAAAUGACAGCAAAAUAUCAAGCUACAUGCAAAAUAGAACAACAGAUAGCAAAAACAUUGACAAAAAAAAAACUGUGAUAACUAAAUUAAUACUAAUAAAUAGGGACAAGGGGAUAUGAGGUUAGCCCCCUGCCACUCCCAACUAAUGAGCGACCACAUUCAGCUACCUACUAACCUUCUACCCUAAUCCUCGAUUGCCAUACCCUCUUAUCUAGGGACAUGUCCUCAAUAAGCUGAAGUUGUGUCAUGUCUUGUCUUGUCUAAUCAACUCCCCCAUUUCGUUUUUGGUCACCACUACCUCUCCUAACUCCUGUUACAACCAACCUCCUAACUAGCGUAUCUGCACACCUCCUAACUAAUCCACAUUCAGCUACCUACUAACCUUCUACCCUAAUCCUCGAUCGCCAUGCCCUCUUAUCUAGGGACAUGUCCUCAAUAAGCUGAAGUUGUGUCAUGUCUUGUCUUGUCUAAUCAACUCCCCCCAUUUCGUUUUUGGUCACCACUACCUCUCCUAAAUCCUGUUACAACCAACCUCCUAACUAGCGUAUCUGCACACCUCCUCUUCACAUGCCCAUGCCCGAACCAUCUCAGUCUCACUUCUCUCAUCUUGUCCGUCAUGAAUGUCAUUCCCACCUUGCCCCAUAUAGCUUUGUUCCUGAUCAUGUUUCUCCCUUUAUAUAUACCAUUUCUAAAAAUAUGUGUACCUAUAUGAAGCUUGUAUUCUUUAUCAGAAAAAGACAUAUUUGGAAAAAGAAAUAAAUCCUUAAACCAUCACGUCUCAAAUUCAAACAGACUUAUAAGUUGAACCAUAACAAACCGUAACAAUAGAUGUUAGUAUCAUAUGUUCACCACAAUAAAGCAGAAUAUACGAAAUAAUCAGGAAAGAAAAAUUUAACGAAAAAUACAGAACUGUGAAUUAAUUAUCCGAGCCCACAGAAUUCGCUAUGUGUCCUUAAUAAGCCCUAGCCCCAUAUAAGAGAUCUAAAAAGGUCAUUUACUUCUUUUCAAUUUGUACGUGGUCAUAAGAGACCACUUCCUCUCUAUCAUUAGAUAAAAGAUACAUGUCAAUAUUCAGACACCAAAUCAGUUGCCCAACAUACAUUAUUUCAAAUUUGAAAAAAGAACUUUCAUCGUGUCUGUUGCAGCACCAAUUAUUUUCUUUUGAUGUGGUGCUGAGUUUCUUUUCCUAAUGUUAGUAGAGCAUCAAAGUCUCAAGUCUUUCAAAUGAGGUUUUCUAUGACAAAGUUCCUCUAUAUUUUCUCUAACUGCUAUUUUCUUCUCCUUCCUACACUACUAUUUUGAAAUCAUAGAAAGGGAAAACGUCAAUACUAUAGAUGCUUAUCAAAGUACUGAACUCUGAAGGGAUCUUCCAAACAGUAUAAAUUCAACAUGUGAAGUAAGCCUACGUAUGCCAAACUCAGCAAUUCUUACGAUGAAACAAAAAUAAUCUUGCUCUCCAAGAACAAGACUUCCUAAUUCUUCCACUCCACUACUAUAUAUGACCUUUAAAGCAUUCUUCCCGUUUAACCUGCUUAGGCAUAUGUUUUGAUCAUUUGGAUUCUAUUAUGAGAUUCAACGAGAAUCACAUCACGAGAGUAUUCUAAAAACCGAAAUUACAAAAUCAAUGUUUUCAAUACCAUACCAUUCAGGUCCGUACCAUGCCCACCCCUAACGGUGAAAAUCUAAUAAACUAUGGGAAGUGUAUCGGUAUAGUCCACCCCUUAAAGGCAAUCUCUUGAACAAAGCUCUCCCACCUCAAUUGAUUCCAAAAGCCCAAGGCCCCUGGACCCACUUGUUUCAACCUCCUUGUGGCUUGACCCCACCUUCCGGCCCCACCAGAAUCACCAGCCACCACAAGAUAAUGAAAAAACUUUUCCUACCCAUUAACUUCCCUCCACAUGUUUCCCUUGGAUUCUCUCCCCACUUGAUAGUUGCCUACUGUUAUUUUCCCUCCUUUCCCCCUUCAUAUUCCACAGUGCCCCAUAAGUCUGCAGCAUACCUGCUAAACUUCAGUAUUCGAAGUACAACAGAAAAUAGAGAGCAAGAAGAAAAAAUAGGCCAAAAAUAGUUCAAUGUUGAAAAAGGAGAACAGUGGGGGUUUUGAUGGCAGCAGCAAUUACUGGGCAAGAGUGUGUGACAGUUGCCGUUUAGUUACCUGUACCAUUUACUGCCAGGCGGAUUCUGCCUAUUUGUGUGCAGGCUGUGACGCCCGCAUACAUGCAGCAAGUCUGGUGGCUUCUCGUCACAAGCGUGUGUGGGUUUGUGAGGCCUGCGAGUGUGCCCCUGCAGCCUUUCUUUGCAAGGCGGAUGCUGCCUCACUUU
rnacentral:lncRNA from 1 species